CCUGGUAGCUCAGUUGGUAAAGAAUCUGCCUGCAAUGCAGGAGGCCCUGGUUCGAUUCCUGGGUCAGGA
rnacentral:tRNA from 1 species